rnacentral:rRNA from 1 species
CCAGACUCCUACGGGAGGCAGCAGUGAGGAAUAUUGGUCAAUGGGCGAGAGCCUGAACCAGCCAAGUCGCGUGAAGGAUGAAGGAUCUAUGGUUUGUAAACUUCUUUUAUAUGGGAAUAAAGUGAGGAACGUGUUCCUUUUUGUAUGUACCAUAUGAAUAAGCAUCGGCUAACUCCGUGCCAGCAGCCGCGGUAAUACGGAGGAUGCGAGCGUUAUCCGGAUUUAUUGGGUUUAAAGGGUGCGUAGGUGGUUAAUUAAGUCAGCGGUGAAAGUUUGUGGCUCAACCAUAAAAUUGCCGUUGAAACUGGUUGACUUGAGUAUAUUUGAGGUAGGCGGAAUGCGUGGUGUAGCGGUGAAAUGCAUAGAUAUCACGCAGAACUCCGAUUGCGAAGGCAGCUUACUAAACUAUAACUGACACUGAAGCACGAAAGCGUGGGGAUCAAACAGGAUUAGAUACCCCAGUA